UUCCGGUUGAUCCUGCCGGAGGCCAUUGCUAUCGGGGUCCGAUUUAGCCAUGCUAGUCGCGCGGGUUUAGACCCGCGGCAAAUAGCUCCGUAACACGUGGCCAAACUACCCUACGGAGGAGAAUAACCUCGGGAAACUGAGGCUAACACUCCAUACGGCUCCGACGCUGGAACGCCCGGAGUCAGAAGCGCGUUAGCGCCGUAGGAUGUGGCUGCGGCCGAUUAGGUAGACGGUGGGGUAACGGCCCACCGUGCCGAUAAUCGGUACGGGUUGUGAGAGCAAGAGCCCGGAGACGGAAUCUGAGACAAGAUUCCGGGCCCUACGGGGCGCAGCAGGCGCGAAACCUUUACACUGCACGACAGUGCGAUAAGGGGACCCCGAGUGCGAGGGCAUACAGUCCUCGCUUUUCUGGACGGUAAGGACGUCCAGGAACAAGUGCUGGGCAAGACCGGUGCCAGCCGCCGCGGU
rnacentral:rRNA from 1 species